UACGGAGGUGGCAAGCGUUGCUCGGAAUCACUGGGCGUAAAGGGCGCGUAGGCGGGGAGGUAAGUCGGGUGUGAAAUCCCUCGGCCCAACUGAGGAACUGCGCCCGAGACUGCUUCUCUUGAGUCCCGGAGAGGAAGAUGGAAUUCCCGGUGUAGCGGUGAAAUGUGUAGAGAUCGGGAGGAACACCGGUGGCGAAGGCGGCAUCCCGGACCAACACUGACGCUGAGGAGCGAAAGCCAGGGGAGCAAACGGG
rnacentral:rRNA from 1 species